GUUGUGGGCUUUGCAAGCCAUCCAGUGAAGGAAGCGCUCAAACAGGCUCAGCUGCAGAAAGGGAGCAAUACAGGCUGAUGUAGUCAGAGAGAAAAGACUACAGGAAAAAAAGUGAGAGUUAAUCAGAAACCCUGAGGGUUUGGGAGGAAAAGAGCUUAUGAGUGAGAGGAAGACAUAUUCUGAUGGAGCACAGCCAAGCACAGUGCCCGUGGGCAAUGGUGAUCCCAAUGAAGUGGUGAGCAUGCUCUCAGACCACAAGAAGAUUCAUCCUUGCUGCUAGCCCACUGGUUCAACUGGAGACAAAGUCAAGCUGAAUAGAGCCCCAGCAUUCUCGAAUACAUAUUCUCUUCACAGUGGACAUCUAAGCUAAUUGUGCCUAUGCAGAAAAUGUGGAAGAAAAAUGAGGUUCUGCUCCUGACUUGACAAAACAGUACUGUUCACGUGGUUAACUUAUAUGUGAGAUUGCCUUCUGCUCAGGCUUUGUUCCUUGUGCCAGGCUCAGCUAUUUGUGCCUUUGGACGCGGGGAAUCCAGCGUUGUCCCAUACAGCAGAGAAUAGAGAUGGAGCAAUACAGCCCAAGGUCAAGAGUGAGGUUUCAAGAGCAGCAGUGUUUCUGUUGUGAAAGGAUAUCAGAGCACGGCACCUUUUCCUGCAGCUGCUGCGUUUUGUUUGCUGCUGAUAAAAAGCCUCUGUGAGAAACGGCAAAUGGACCUGCAGAUCCACCACAGCUUUCAGUGAAAGCAGGAGCUCAAAGUGGUCCUGCUCACUGUUGCUUCUGCACUUCACCUUUCCUUCAUUCAUCCUGCCAGAGGAAUACUGUCAGGUCUCACCUGUGAGUGACUCUGAGGCCUUUUGAUUUCUGGAGGAAAGGCUUAACAACGACAACUAUGAGGCUGCGAUCUGAUAUUAAUCUCUGGAUGUUCAGUACAGAUAAAACAAGAAUUUGUGUACACUAUUCAAUUUUAUGAAGAGCAACAUACUGCCCUUGGCAGAUCCCUGAAUGACCUCUCCAGGCUUAACCAAACAAUAGACCCAGAUUUGUUAAGGUCAUGUAAGCAAUUCUUCCUUCCUAGCAGGUGGAAAGCAGUUCUGGUCCUACAGAAGAAUUCUAGCAGCACUCACAUGCCCAGAGAUACCUGGUGAAAGCAACACAGAGGAGAGAGAUUGUCCAAAAGACACUUUUUAGCACAGAAAAAUAAAGGAGAGACCCUUCCAUGUGACCGACACGUGGAGUUCUGCAUCGCCAAACCACUACCACAACAUAAAGGUGGUAACCUGGCAGCUGUCCUACACAGUGGUAACAUUUGUGCAGCAACGUUCAUGGAAAUAUGUAAUAAGUAGUAUUUUAAAAAUGCACUAAAAUAAACAAACAAAUGAGGACAGGCCUUUGAGGGCGGCUUUAGUGCUAUUUCUUUUAUACAUGCCUAUACUAGGAAAGUAACGUAAUUUUUUUGGCAGAAGCUGUGUUUUUUGAGGGCAGCCAUUAAGCACCUGUUGCCCUCACUGCAGUAAGGCAGAGCUUCCCACCACGAGAUACGGCUUUUCCCACAUGCAGCUCCCAUAGUUUGUCUGCUUUCCAUACUCCAGCACUUACUGUGUGUUUAUCUUUUUGAUAACUCUGACCAAAAAAUUGGCAAGGGACUUCAACUCCAGAGUUAAAUAAAAAUCACUCUUUUACAUACAAUUUUUUAAAGUAGGACCCUUUGCAGUGACUGUGGUCCAACAGAGUACUUAUCUGAGGUUUGUCUCCCUGGGAAUCUCUUUCUGAAAGGAGAGGCAGUCUUGAAAUGACAGGUCAAGGCACAUGGACCAGAGCAACAAGCAGAGUACUCAGGGAUAUCCAAACACAUUUGACGUUGGCAUCCACUAACAAGACUGUCAAGCGCCUGUCGAAAUGCAAAUGUUUUUGUUGUGAGGUUUGGCAGUACCUAUGAGCACUGCUGACAGUUUGUUAAAAAUAACCCCAGAAAUGCAUCCUUUCUAGGUCAAAACUGACUAUGAAGCUGAGUGCACUGUAAUUACAGUGCACUAAAUGAGUUACAGCUUGAGCUAAUCACACCCCACUGCACUAAAAGCUGUAAUUACACACAGAGAGAGUGAGC
rnacentral:lncRNA from 1 species